rnacentral:rRNA from 1 species
GACGAACGCUGGCGGCGUGCUUAACACAUGCAAGUCGAACGGAAAGGCCCUGCUUUUGUGGGGUGCUCGAGUGGCGAACGGGUGAGUAACACGUGAGUAACCUGCCCUUGACUUUGGGAUAACUUCAGGAAACUGGGGCUAAUACCGGAUAGGAGCUCCUGCUGCAUGGUGGGGGUUGGAAAGUUUCGGCGGUUGGGGAUGGACUCGCGGCUUAUCAGCUUGUUGGUGGGGUAGUGGCUUACCAAGGCUUUGACGGGUAGCCGGCCUGAGAGGGUGAUCGGCCACAUUGGGACUGAGGUACGGCCCAGACUCCUACGGGAGGCAGCAGUGGGGAAUAUUGCACAAUGGGCGGAAGCCUGAUGCAGCAACGCCGCGUGCGGGAUGACGGCCUUCGGGUUGUAAACCGCUUUCGCCUGUGACGAAGCGUGAGUGACGGUAAUGGGUAAAGAAGCACCGGCUAACUACGUG